UACGUAGGGGGCAAGCGUUGUCCGGAUUUAUUGGGCGUAAAGCGCACGUAGGCGGAUUGUUAAGUCGGGGGUGAAAUCCUGGAGCUCAACUCCAGAACUGCCUUCGAAACUGGCGAUCUUGAGUCCGGGAGAGGUGAGUGGAACUGCGAGUGUAGAGGUGAAAUUCGUAGAUAUUCGCAAGAACACCAGUGGCGAAGGCGGCUCACUGGCCCGGUACUGACGCUGAGGUGCGAAAGCGUGGGGAGCAAACAGG
rnacentral:rRNA from 1 species